CAACAACCCAGACCUACGACUAAGGUCCCUAAACAUCGUUCAGUGGAGAAGGAUGUGGAUUUACACAGACAAUGAGGAUGUUGGCUUAGAGGCAGCCACCAUUUAAACAGUGCGUAAUAGCUGACUCAUCGAGUGAAUCUGCGCCGAAAAUGAUCGGGACUCAAACGAUGUACCGAAGUCUAGGACUCUACAGCUUGCUGUAGUUUGGUAGGAAAGCGUUCCAACAGGAGUGAAGGGGAAGCGGCGAGCGACCCUGGACCGGUUGGAAGUGAGAAUGUAGGCAUGAGUAACGAUAAAACAGGUUAAAAUCCUGUUCGCCGUAAGGAUAAGGUUUCCUGGGGAAGGUUCGUCCGCCCAGGGUUAGUCGGGAGCUAAGGCGAGGGCGUAAGCAGUAGUCGAUGCACAACAGGUUAAUAUUCCUGUACCCGCUUAUAUAUGUUUGAUCUUCGGAGUGACGGAGAAGGUUAACCGAGCUGGGUGAUGAUUGUCCCAGUCGAAGGUCGUAGGCUGAAGAGUAGGCAAAUCCGCUCUUCGUUAAGGCUGAAAACCGUAAGGACCUUGAAGCUACGGCUGAUAGGGAUUCGGUGAUACCAGGCUUUCAGGAAAAGCUUCGUUGUUAGUAUAUAGGUGGCCCGUACCGCAAACCGACACAGGUAUCCGGGAUGAGUAUUCUAAGGCGCGUGAGUUAAAUCUCUCUAAGGAACUCGGCAAAUUUGCCCCGUAUCUUCGGUAGAAGGGGUGCCCCUUUCGGGGGGUCGCAGUUAAGAGGCGCAACCGACUGUUUAGCAAAAACACAGCUCUCUGCAAAGUCGCAAGACGACGUAUAGGGAGUGACACGUGACCAAUGCAGAAAGGUGAACGUCUGGGGUGAGAGCUCCGGGCCCAAGCCCCUGUGAAUGUCGGCCGUAACUAUAACGGUCCUAAGGUAGCGAAAUUCCUUGUCGGGAAGUUCCGACCCGCACGAAUCGUGUAACGAGUUGCGCACUGUCUCGGAGAGAUGCUCAGUGAAAUUGUAGUAGCGGUCAAGAUGCCGCUUACCCGCAGCAGGACGGAAAGACCCUUUGCACCUUUACUGUAAGCUGAUAUUGGUACUUGAUUUUCAAUGCGUAGGAUAGGUGGGAGACUUCGAAGCGG
rnacentral:rRNA from 1 species